rnacentral:rRNA from 1 species
GCUGUCGUCAGCUCGUGUUGUGAAAUGUUGGGUUAAGUCCCGCAACGAGCGCAACCCUUAUCCUUUGUUGCCAGCGGUCCGGCCGGGAACUCAAAGGAGACUGCCAGUGAUAAACUGGAGGAAGGUGGGGAUGACGUCAAGUCAUCAUGGCCCUUACGACCAGGGCUACACACGUGCUACAAUGGCGCAUACAAAGAGAAGCGACCUCGCGAGAGCAAGCGGACCUCAUAAAGUGCGUCGUAGUCCGGAUUGGAGUCUGCAACUCGACUCCAUGAAGUCGGAAUCGCUAGUAAUCGUGGAUCAGAAUGCCACGGUGAAUACGUUCCCGGGCCUUGUACACACCGCCCGUCACACCAUGGGAGUGGGUUGCAAAAGAAGUAGGUAGCUUAACCUUCGGGAGGGCGCUUACCACUUUGUGAUUCAUGACUGGGGUGAAGUCGUAACAAGGUAACCGUAGGGGAACCUGCGGUUGGAU